rnacentral:rRNA from 1 species
CCUACGGGGGGCUGCAGUGAGGAAUAUUGGUCAAUGGGCGGAAGCCUGAACCAGCCAAGUAGCGUGCAGGAUGACGGCCCUAUGGGUUGUAAACUGCUUUUAUACAGGAAUAAAGUUAGCCACGUGUGGUUAUUUGUAGGUACUGUAUGAAUAAGGACCGGCUAAUUCCGUGCCAGCAGCCGCGGUAAUACGGAAGGUCCAGGCGUUAUCCGGAUUUAUUGGGUUUAAAGGGAGCGUAGGCCGUCUGUUAAGCGUGUUGUGAAAUGUAGAUGCUC